GCGUGGACUAUACAGAUGAACCAAGAACAUGGAAAAUCGUAGAAAAAGCCAUUGACUGUGGAGAAGUCCCAUUCUACAAAGGUUUUGUAAGAGAGUCUAAACAGAAAAUGAUUGUGAGAAAAAGGCGGCUAUGAGCUGCUGGAGUUCAGUGUACGUGGUGGAAAUACGUUAUGCUCGCCUUCUGGCGAGUGUGAAAUAACAUGCUGGACUAAAUGGACCUCUUCUUCAACAUGGGGUGUUUUGAACACUUUGUAGAUCUUACAUGCACAUCGCAGUAACCGUUCUCUAAGUUAAAGAAAAUGUAAUAGCUGCCGAGACAAAAAAAGCGUGGGUGGGGGGAACAGGGAUAGGCAUAGACAUUACAUUCAGCAUUGUGAAACAACAAAAAACUGUCCCGCUCUACUAAAGCCAGAAUGGCCUUUCUUUCACCAGUUUGUCAUCUGUGGCCAAAUUUGGAAAUGAUUUGAGUUUCCUUGCAGCUAGUUGUAUACAGAUUUAAAAAAAAAAAAAAAAAAAAAAAAAAAAGUGUUUCAAAACUAUUAUAAGAUUUUGUCAAAUAACUUGCAAAAUACUUGUUGAAAAACUAGUUUGCUAUUUUCAGCAGAAAAAGAAGCUAGAGAGGCAGAAGAGACUAAAUCUGAACUGGGACUUGGUGGAGAAGAUGAUUUGAAAGCACUGAUUCAAAGCAGAAAUAAAGAUCAAAAAAAGGAAAUGGAUGACUUUUUGGCCCAACUGGAAUACGGGGAAAAUGCUAAAAAAGGAGAAAAGAUGACCGCAGCCAAGAAAGGAAAGAAAUAAAGAACUGUGUAGGCUGAGAUACCAGGUAUCAUUUUGUAUGGGAUCACGUGGAUUUGGGAGAAUUUCAGAGUUUUUCUGGGCUACUGUUUCAGAGUGUGUGCAUCAGUUUGCUGUGACUGGGAGGUAUGAUACAGAAUGCAUCAUGAACAAGACAAAGCAUUCUGGUGCUACUCUUUAAAAAUCCUUCGGGUGCUCUUCGGUUAAGGAUCAAACAGAUUCCUGAGUAAAAGUUGUUACAGUAAGGAAGCGGUGUGAGGUUUGGGACCAUGGUGCGUUUAUUAAACUUCUUUUGAAGCAGCUUCCUUCCAAACACCUAAUGGAUAUUGGUACAGUUGAUGGUAAAACGGUGUAACCCCUCACCUUUGAGAGUCUUCAGUGGCGAUUCCUGCGGUUUCCGAGUUGGAAACCUUAUCUUUUUGCUAGUCACAUGUUUCUUCGUAACAAACCUUCUGCUGUUUUUUAAAAGUCUUUGAACUUCAGCUCAACAGGUAUUUUCAGUGGUUUUAUAAAGAUACUUUGGAAUACUGCAGAUUUAAUAAAGGAAAAGUUUUCAUAGAAUUCUGUGCUAAGUUGCCCAGCCCUCUCUACGUUUUCUAUGUAGCUGUUCAAAACAAACUGAUUGUGUGGACUCUUCUGACUGAUUUAAGUCAAGUAAAUACUACACACUUGUAUAGCAGCUGUAACUAUGGCUACAUUGAUGACUGCCAUGUCAGUGCUGGUGAUGCCAUGUUCCAUGAAAGGGCCAGCUCGUGUUUGGCCUUGGAUUGCCUGUGGCAGAUGCCUUAGGAAGAAGACUGCAGCAUGUAUGUCACUGUGCAGGAAUCCUCUGACACACUGAGGUGAGGCAAUAGCUGAAAAAUCCACAGGAGAGAGUCAGUCCUGUGCAUUUCUUGGGUUUGUGAUGUCCCAUGACAAGGAGUUCCAAAGCUCAGAAAUGCAUUGCUUGUUAUUGCAAUAGCAUCACAGUCAAGUCUGCUGUAGGGUGGUAGUGAUUAGCUACUUCACUAUAUUUGUCAACCCUUCUGUUAUUUCAGAAGUGAAUUACUUAAGUAGGAUCUGCAAACACUUGAAAGGUUUAUGCUUCAGCUGUUUUUAAACCACCUGACAGUGUGUAGGGGUAUGAAUUUGAAGGGUAAUUAACUAGUUUUCAACUCUGUCACAAAGGGAUGAGGCUGGCUUUAUUUUGUGGAUCAUUUUUCAGAGGCUUAUGAGCGACAAGGUGAACACUUCCUUUUGAGCUGAAAGUCCUCACUGCUUCAGUGAUAGCAUUCAGGAGCUGGCUAUUUAAUAGAGCUUCCCAAGGGGAAGCUAGAGGUAGAUGGUAACUAUUCCUUUACGUGGCUUCUUUCAAAAAUUAUCCUGAUUCUGAGAGUACAGCAUAUCUCUAUGUUGCACAACACAUGGACCUGAACGUUACUUUUACUGUACAAAACAGAUACCUACCAGCCCAGAAGUCUCGUGUCAACCAUUUGUACAGAAACCAAAAAUUACCUUAUGGUGAGACUGCUUUCCCUUUUUUAACACACUGACUCCUCUUAGCUAUAAAAUACUACAUUAUAUUACUAGAAGUCUAUUCAAGUUUAUUUGUAUAUUUUUGUAACUUAUGCACUAGGGCUACAGAAAACUAACUUGCUCCCUGAGGAAUGGCACCGAUAUAAAGGGGAUGCUUAUCUCCAGUGAGCUUGAUGUUACUAGAUGCCACACUGUACAAUGUUCCAGUAGUGUCAGCUGUUAAAAGAAAUUGUAUUUUGAAAGAGUUUAGUGAACAGAGGCCUCUCUUUAGCAUCAGUUUGCCUCUAUGCAAACCCAAGAGAUUUCAACUGAGACCAGAGCUUUUUUUUUUUUUUUCACCCCUCUAGAAAUGCAAAGGAAAGCUAACUUAGUUACAUUUGCACAGUUCUGCUUUGCUUUCUUUUCCCUUCUUUUUGAGUAAAGCAUGCUUGGAUCAACUGGACUCAAUAACUUCAAUAUUGAUUAAAAAUUAUUAGCUGUUCUCUAGGUACCACUAACAUUUGAUAGCUUACAUAACAGAGUGGGAUAGUAGGAGCUACUUCCUAAAGAAUACUGACUAGUUUUUUUCAUUAUGAAUUGUAAUUCAGAAAACAUUAAUAAGGGAAAUUUAGAAAGAAAGUGCUUUUUAAUUGGACAAUUUUUUAAAGGAAAAACUGUUUUCCUGCAGUGUCCUAAUUUUGUUAAAAUACAUGAAGUGGUUAUCCUCACCUCGUCUGUACGCUUAUUUGUCAUCUGGAGUUUACUGUUUUGGGAGUAAGACCUUCAGCUAAUCACUUAGAAGCAUGUAUUUCAUGUUUUUGUCUAAUUUGGAGCCACAAGGGCAACUGCAGCAAAUACCACUGAUACAUCUGUCCCAGUGCAGAACCCAUCUUCUAACAACGUCGUUGCAUCUGUGGGUUUGGAGCCUCAUGGCAGAGCGCAGAAAUCUUUGGUAAUUGCAGGCAUUUUUAGAAAGGGAGACUGACCUAUUUUGCAAAAUUACCAUGAAAUAUCCCGCCAGGAAGACAACGUACUUUCUUUGAAUACUGUCUGGAACUACUUGCAGUAAGAGUCCCUUCUGCCUCUUCCACAUUCAGUCAGUGAGGAAGAGGUCCAAGUAUGUAACACAGGAAGAGUCGCUAGUGUGCUACCCUUAAAGUCAUCAGUUCUGCUCAGCUGGUUUGUUACCUUAUUUUUAUACAACUGCGUUGAUAUCUGCUGCAGUUAUUACAGGAUUCAUAUCUUGUCUAAGUUGGGUUGUAGAAGCAGCAACGUGUAGUGCUUGCUUUUGAUAGUAUAAUGUUGCUUUAAACAUAUAAAUACAGCUUUUAACAUCGAAAUUACUGCUGUUAUGGAAAAUCUUUCAUCUUCUGUAGAGCUAACAGAAAAAUUGGCAGAUUCUGCAGUACUUGCCUGUAACAAGAUGAACAGGUCGUAAGCCAGUAAUGGGAAAACAACAACGGCUGAGUGUGUUGCCUGGAUUUUCUAGGAGUUAGGCUUUACUGCCCACUGGAGUCCAUUUACCCUUCCACUGGAGUAUAACUACUUCUGGUAGCAAAUGGAAUGUUUUAAGUAUACCCCUUCUAAUCUUUGGCAGCUGCUUCUUAGAUUGAUAAAAAAAUAACUAUUCAUAAGGAUGGGUGUUUGAAGACUCUGCUGUAAACAAUGUUGACAUUGCUGAAAAUGAGAGCUGAUGCAUGUCUCUGGCCAUGGAUGGACACUUCUUCAUGGCACGUUUAGAACCCCUGUUUGCUUUUUUUGACUGAUCCACCUCGACUGUGGGCUUUCAGAGAACCAUGCAGCUGAAGACCUAAUAAACAGAGAUCAGAGAUCAUGUACAACUUUAGGACUUUUGAAAGGUAUUAAAACUAAGUACCAAAUACAUCUCCUUUAGCUUAAAACUAAAAUGCUUUUCUUUGUUGGUGUUUUUUUUUUUUUUUUUAUUCUAAUAUCAACUGUGUUACGUAUGACUUACGCAAGUUUGAGACAAGUGCCUGGCCAUCCAAAAGAGGCAAAUUUUAUGCUUUCACAGUUGCUGCAUUGCAGGCAACUACUGUAUUCCUUGAUAUUUCAUGAAGUGUUCAAGUCUACGAAGUUCUGCUGAUUUCAAUUUUUUUUUUGUUAAUACGUCAGUCGAAACUCAGCUUGCAUUUAAAGAUACUGGGGUUGGAUUUUUGGGGGGCGGGGGAGGGAGCAGAUUUCAGUAGGAACCAUUCCUGUCUUGCUUAAAAACCAGUUACUUCAGUUUAGUGCCUUUCAGUUGCCUCUUGUACCACUUGUAAGUGGUAGGAGGCCGCUCAGCUGCUCAACAAGCUAAAAGACCCCUCCUGUCCUCUGACAGUCACCCAGGUACUUGCUACCUUAACCCUUGCAGCUUCCAUUAACUUUUGCAGCUUCACUCCUAUCUUGUUAGUGUAUUUUUAUGUGGGGAAUGCUGACAACUCUAUAAGGAGUCCCAAACCACUGCGAUGAAAUGAAUCCAGCGUCAUUUGUCUUGACGGAGCUAGUUUUCAGAACGUGCACCUAAUCCCCUGCUCUCUGUGCCACCCUUUCCAGGUGGAGGUGAUACUUGGCAUCAAAACAAAGUUAAGUUAACAGGGAGUGCUUAAAAAAAAAGCUGUUCCGGGGCACAAAAGUUAACUUUUUCUCUACUGUAGUCUCUGAACAAACUCCCUUUCACCUGACUAGACUAGAGUUUGUGUGUGCCAUGAGGUAAAAAACCUAAAUCUCUGCUGGUAAAGUUGAAAUAAGUAAGGUUCAUUGGUUGAUUGUAACACUGGUGUACACGUGUGCAACUCGUCUUGUCUGCAGUGGACCUUCAUUCUGCAGCCACAUCAGCUUGCUGUGGGUGAUUGCUAGUCACAGAGUUUCUUGGCAAUGGAUUUAAAUGAAAGGAACUUACUUUUUCAUUACCACAGAUUUGUUUAAUUUUUCUUUUUUUUUUCCCACAAGAUUCUUAAAAGAAAAGGGGUGGAACAAAGCACAGAAAUUAAUUGCAAACCUGUAUCUUGACUAUCAGGGCCGUAUUUUCCUUCCAAUUGAGGGAACAGACGGAGUGAGGAAGUUGAUAAUGUUACAUUCAGUUCUUAGGAUGGGGAACCACCAGAGGUCAUGUGUAGCACCUGAAACAAUGCUUUUCACUUCCUGUCCUGUUCUUCAGCAGUUAAAUUAUGCUGAUUCUCCUGAAGCAAAUCUCUAGUUGAAGAGAAAUGUUUGCUAUUACUGUUAUUAAGGAAACCAAAUACAUUGGACCAAACAUGUUGCAGUUAAAAUAGGGGGGUUUUUAUUUACUGGUUGGAUCAUGGUCUGUGGCAUCUGUAUUUACCUCAUCUCCCAUUUAAAAAAUAGAUGUGCUGUUUUCUGUAUUAUUUCUCUAUUUGUAGUUCGGUAUUCUCUAUGUUUAAACAUGUGCAUUUGUAUAUUAAAUUAAAUUUUCAGCUGC